GUUAAUGCAAUGAUGUGGAGUAGUAAGCUAAGACUUUUUCAGAGAGCCUUGUGACGGUGAGAAAAGGCAUUGUGUUAGCUGAACUCGCCAUUGAGCAUGCAUAUUAAAAGUAUGCACGGUUGUACCGUUAUAUGGAACAAGUGGGCUUGCGUCAAAAAGAGUGGUACCACGGAAGCGAUGCUUUCGUCUCUUUA
rnacentral:ncRNA from 1 species